UACGUAGGGUGCAAGCGUUGUCCGGAAUUAUUGGGCGUAAAGAGCUCGUAGGCGGCUUGGCAAGUCGGGUGUGAAACCUCCAGGCUCAACCUGGAGACGCCACUCGAUACUGCUAUGGCUAGAGUCCGGUAGGGGACCACGGAAUUCCUGGUGUAGCGGUGAAAUGCGCAGAUAUCAGGAGGAACACCGGUGGCGAAGGCGGUGGUCUGGGCCUGCACUGACGCUGAGGAGCGAAAGCAUGGGUAGCAAACAGG
rnacentral:rRNA from 1 species